UACAGAGGGUGCGAGCGUUGUUCGGAAUUAUUGGGCGUAAAGCGCUUGUAGGCGGCUUGUUAAGUUCCGUGUGAAAUCCCAGGCUUAACCUGGGAACUGCGUCGGAUACUGGAUUGGCUUGAAUUCGGGAGAGGAUGGCAGAAUUCAGGUGUAGCGGUGGAAAUGACGUAGAUAUCUGGAGGAAUACCGGUGGCGAAGGCGGCAUCCUGGACCGACAUUGACGCU
rnacentral:rRNA from 1 species